CCGAGCGAGGGCUCCGGCCCGACCUCCAACCCCAUGUUUUCCGACUCUGUUGCCUCGGGGGCGACCCGGCCUUCGGGCGUCAGGGGCCCCCGGUGGUCCACAUCAACACUGCAUCUGUGCGUCUGAGUAACAAAUAAAUCAAUCA
rnacentral:misc_RNA from 1 species